AUAGAUAGAAUAAUGGACCAGGGUCUAUUGGUGGUGCAAUGGGGUAUGGUGAUUUGCAGUCCUUGAGCUUGUCUAUGAGCCCUGGUUCUCAAUCUAGCUGUGUUACAGCUGCUGCACAGUAGCUAUCACAUGGUGGGGCUGAUUUUGUAGCCAUGAACACAGAGAAGAGAGGGGGUGGGAAGGUGGGCCAGAAGAAGCCAGUUCAUAGGAAGUCCAUUGAUACAUUUGGGCAGAGAACAUCACAGUAUAGAGGUGUUACAAGUGGAUCAUGGCAAGCUUGGUGAAGCAUCAGGAUGUGCAGGUCAAGCUGGCGGAAGUGAUCGAUCGGGUUGUGCGGGAUGGACGAGAAGACAUUGAAGAGGAGGAUUUGUAGCGGAUGUCAUAUCUGAAGGCAGUGAUCAUUCUAGAAAAGAGCAAGGAAUCAUUGGAUUAUAGAAGCCUGGAAAUGAAAUGUUGAAUUGAAAUUGAAAUGUGUACUAGAAAAGAAGGAAAAGAUUAUUGUGUGUGAAUCAUUCUAUUGUCUUUUCCUUUUAUUUGUGUAAUUAUUUGGCAUAUAAUACAAGUAGAUUACAUACC